rnacentral:rRNA from 1 species
UACGAAGGGGGCUAGCGUUGCUCGGAAUCACUGGGCGUAAAGCGCACGUAGGCGGAUCGUUAAGUCAGGGGUGAAAUCCCGGAGCUCAACUCCAGAACUGCCUUUGAUACUGGCGAUCUUGAGUUCGGGAGAGGUGAGUGGAACUGCGAGUGUAGAGGUGAAAUUCGUAGAUAUUCGCAAGAACACCAGUGGCGAAGGCGGCUCACUGGCCCGAUACUGACGCUGAGGUGCGAAAGCGUGGGGAGCAAACAGG